rnacentral:lncRNA from 1 species
CCCAAACGAUUUGGUCUCUCACAUGCAGACUGGAAUUGAACCUAGUGGAUUGAAUUAUAAACAACGUCAUGGGGCAAGAUUUCAUUUUAUGAUGACAGUCUGGUCAGAUGGCCCCAGGGCACCCAGAGAAUGCACCGGAAACCCAGGAGUUGGACAGCAGCUUCCCCCAGCACAGAGCCAAGCAGAGGCUGACUCUGACCUGAAGUCUGCGCCCCUUUCAGCACUCUGGGAGCUAUUACCACCUGUCCAUCAGCGGCAUCAAGGAGCCAGGAGUGAUGACCUGGACAGUUCAGACUGUGGGAAGAGGUCCGCGCUUUGAUGACCUGAAAAUGAGCAGAAAUUGGAUUUCAGUAUUUGGCAUCCCUUACCUGUUCAGAACGUUCUAAAUGUACUAGCUUGCCUAAGGCUCUCAAUAACAGCUGUGCAAGGAAUAUACUAUUUCAUUGAGGGGAAACACAAAGCCCAAGAGGGGCCAAAUGGUGUCUUAAAGCCACGUCUGUAUGCAGCAGAACCAGGUU